UGCCCCAUGGCCCAGCUGGUUAAGGCGUCCGACUGUUAAGAUUCGAUAUCCAUCAGAAAUAAUAGGCGACUCGGAGGUAUUCAGCACUAUCGGGAGAUCGAGAGUUCGAUCCUCUCUGGGGCAG